rnacentral:rRNA from 1 species
AUGUCAUAUAGGAGCAACAACCCUGAGAUCUCAUCGUUUGCCUCUAGUUAUCCAUUGCAGGGAUUUAGGUACAAUGAGGAGAACCACAACUAUGCUCCACAACAGAUUUAUUCACCUCCUACUCAUAUACCUCAAUACCAGGAGAUGUGUCCAAUGGAGUUAAAUGGUCCUCCAUUUGGUCAACCAACAACUCCAGCACCUUUCGAGCAAUCUCAUGUGCAAGUGCCCACACAAGAUGAAUUUGAUGAUAUAGAGAAGCUCACAUUGCUUAGUCUCGAGUUCACUUGGAGUGCUGAAGAUGAUCCAAUUAGGCCGGUGAUACUAGAUGAAAUGAAGAAGAUCAAGAGUGGGAAUGAGCUAGUGGAAGAAGUAAGGAAGAUUGAGAAGAACAUCAACACUGGCAGUACUAUAUCAUCACAGCUUGAGUUGAGUGUGGCUGAGAUAUCCAUUGAUACAUGUGAGGUUCCAACAUCCUCACAUUUAGCUGAGCAAGAUAGCGAGAGCCCAUAG